GAUUUUCUCCUUUGACUUAUUUCCUUGAUCCACGCUGGGGGAAGAUUGUUUCGUGUUUGCAUUUGUUGCCCUGGAAAAAAGCAACAAGAAGACAUCUCUGCUAGCCACAGGAGCCAAUCACUGGUGAAGCUGGAGGUCACGUAAUCAUCCUGAAAUUCUAUUUAAAUAGCAGCGAUGGGCUGGAGGACCACAGACAGCCCCCGGCGGGACUUCCCAGUGGCUCCUGCAUUUUACUUGCAUCGUAAGAACCUGAAGCCAGAAACAGAAUGAAAAGACUGUUCAGAAGACUUUGGCCCAUCCUGGUGGCUGCCAUUUUGUAUGGACCUCAUCUGGCUUCUGGGAACAACAGUACAGCUGCUUCUAAUGUGACAGCUGCUCCUGUCACCCCCGCAACCACCCCCUCACAUGGCAAUGUUCCUGCGGUGGCAAUCUCACCCCUCUUCAGUUUUGUACUUUUGUAUCUGUUCUAUGACUGUGAACGUAACUUGUAAAAAAGAAUUCAUCCUUUGAUCUCUCAAAUUGCAAAAUGAAAUUUUCCUGAAUUUAACAAGCUUUCAUCAAAGUCAAUGAGUUUUUAAUAGCAACCAAAUGGAAAGUGGAGGAAUGUCCAACUAGAGAAAAUUGGAAAGACAAAAUGGCAAAAUAUGCUGAAAUGGCAAAAUUAACGAACUACAUAAACUGAAGACCUUUUAAAGAAUUUGAAAAGAAAUGAGAAACUUAUUACUCCUAUUAAAGAUAAAGAUGGGAAAUAAAUGAUACAGACUAAAUUUGAGUUUUGAUUUAUACAAAGUAAUAGAAAUGAUGUUUGUUUUAAGUUUUUGAUACAAUUAUAGAUAUAUGUGUUACAACUGAUCAGUAUAAUUUAAUCAGUAUUAAUACAUUUUUAUGAUAUAAUAUCUUAUAUAUAAUUAGUUUUAGAUAUGAGAUAGGAUUGUUAGUAUACCUUUUUGAACCAUUUUAAAAUGCAUUACUUAUUUUUUCUGAACCAAUAAUCAUAAAGCAUAGCUAUGUCACUGUUGUAAAAGUAUAUCAAUAUAUAAUGUUAAAUAUUUUACAAUUUAUAAUAUUUAAUGUCAAAUAUUUUUUUUUCAUUUUAAACCAUCUCAAUCAUAUAGUUUAUUAAACAUCUAAUAAGGAGAUUCAUUGGGAUGGGGAGAGGAAAUAUUCCUGAGGUUUGUGUUGUAUACCUGAAAACUAUAUUUUAAAUGCCAUGGUUAUUGCAUUUUGAUAGUCCUUGUAAUGCAUAUCUUUAAUUUUCUUUUAAAUGUAAACUUUUGUUCUCUUUCCCCUUUUCUUUUCUGUACCCCUUAUUUGUUUUGAAAAAAUAAAAAUAUUUACUCCCCCCCAA